GAUGAACGCUGGCGGCGUGCCUAAUACAUGCAAGUCGAGCGAACGGACGAGAAGCUUGCUUCUCUGAUGUUAGCGGCGGACGGGUGAGUAACACGUGGAUAACCUACCUAUAAGACUGGGAUAACUUCGGGAAACCGGAGCUAAUACCGGAUAAUAUUUUGAACCGCAUGGUUCAAAAGUGAAAGACGGUCUUGCUGUCACUUAUAGAUGGAUCCGCGCUGCAUUAGCUAGUUGGUAAGGUAACGGCUUACCAAGGCAACGAUGCAUAGCCGACCUGAGAGGGUGAUCGGCCACACGGGAACGGAGACACGGUCCAGACGCCUACGGGAGGCAGCAGUAGGGAAUCUUCCGCAAUGGGCGAAAGCCUGACGGAGCAACGCCGCGUGAGUGAUGAAGGUCUUCGGAUCGUAAAACUCUGUUAUUAGGGAAGAACAUAUGUGUAAGUAACUGUGCACAUCUUGACGGUACCUAAUCAGAAAGCCACGGCUAACUACGUG
rnacentral:rRNA from 1 species